AGAGUUUGAUCCUGGCUCAGGAUGAACGCUGGCGGCGUGCCUAAUACAUGCAAGUCGAGCGAACGGACGAGAAGCUUGCUUCUCUGAUGUUAGCGGCGGACGGGUGAGUAACACGUGGAUAACCUACCUAUAAGACUGGGAUAACUUCGGGAAACCGGAGCUAAUACCGGAUAAUAUUUUGAACCGCAUGGUUCAAAAGUGAAAGACGGUCUUGCUGUCACUUAUAGAUGGAUCCGCGCUGCAUUAGCUAGUUGGUAAGGUAACAGCUUACCAAGGCAACGAUGCAUAGCCGACCUGAGAGGGUGAUCGGCCACACUGGAACUGAGACACGGUCCAGACUCCUACGGGAGGCAGCAGUAGGGAAUCUUCCGCAAUGGGCGAAAGCCUGACGGAGCAACGCCGCGUGAGUGAUGAAGGUCUUCGGAUCGUAAAACUCUGUUAUUAGGGAAGAACAUAUGUGUAAGUAACUGUGCACAUCUUGACGGUACCUAAUCAGAAAGCCACGGCUAACUACGUGCCAGCAGCCGCGGUAAUACGUAGGUGGCAAGCGUUAUCCGGAAUUAUUGGGCGUAAAGCGCGCGUAGGCGGUUUUUUAAGUCUGAUGUGAAAGCCCACGGCUCAACCGUGGAGGGUCAUUGGAAACUGGAAAACUUGAGUGCAGAAGAGGAAAGUGGAAUUCCAUGUGUAGCGGUGAAAUGCGCAGAGAUAUGGAGGAACACCAGUGGCGAAGGCGACUUUCUGGUCUGUAACUGACGCUGAUGUGCGAAAGCGUGGGGAUCAAACAGGAUUAGAUACCCUGGUAGUCCACGCCGUAAACGAUGAGUGCUAAGUGUUAGGGGGUUUCCGCCCCUUAGUGCUGCAGCUAACGCAUUAAGCACUCCGCCUGGGGAGUACGACCGCAAGGUUGAAACUCAAAGGAAUUGACGGGGACCCGCACAAGCGGUGGAGCAUGUGGUUUAAUUCGAAGCAACGCGAAGAACCUUACCAAAUCUUGACAUCCUUUGACAACUCUAGAGAUAGAGCCUUCCCCUUCGGGGGACAAAGUGACAGGUGGUGCAUGGUUGUCGUCAGCUCGUGUCGUGAGAUGUUGGGUUAAGUCCCGCAACGAGCGCAACCCUUAAGCUUAGUUGCCAUCAUUAAGUUGGGCACUCUAAGUUGACUGCCGGUGACAAACCGGAGGAAGGUGGGGAUGACGUCAAAUCAUCAUGCCCCUUAUGAUUUGGGCUACACACGUGCUACAAUGGACAAUACAAAGGGCAGCGAAACCGCGAGGUCAAGCAAAUCCCAUAAAGUUGUUCUCAGUUCGGAUUGUAGUCUGCAACUCGACUACAUGAAGCUGGAAUCGCUAGUAAUCGUAGAUCAGCAUGCUACGGUGAAUACGUUCCCGGGUCUUGUACACACCGCCCGUCACACCACGAGAGUUUGUAACACCCGAAGCCGGUGGAGUAACCUUUUAGGAGCUAGCCGUCGAAGGUGGGACAAAUGAUUGGGGUGAAGUCGUAACAAGGUAGCCGUAUCGGAAGGUGCGGCUGGAUCACCU
rnacentral:rRNA from 1 species